UGUAAAAAUAACAGGUCCCGGGUUGUCAUUCUAACCGUUGAAUUAACGAUACGAUGAUGUUGCGCUCCCUGAAAACUGAACACGAAUGGUAUUGAGCGAGAAGUCAAGGAUAGGGAGAUAUAGAAAACAUAUUGUCCAUUAUCAAUGGAAAAUGUCUCUGCUAGCG